CCUUAGCCCAAGAACAAAAGUCUUGGUCCUGAACCUAACGCUGCCCGCCCCUAAAACUAUACAUGCACGCCUCAACAAAACGGUGAGAACCCACCUAGUCUAAUAAGACAAAACGGAGUAAUCAUAAGACACCCGAAACCGGAUCAAAAGAACCCCCCCCACACCUACACAGGAAUUCAGCAGUAACUAACAUUGGGCCAUGAGCGAAAGCUUGACCCAGCUAUAGGAGAGAAAGCCGGUAAAACUCGUGCCAGCUACCGCGGUUAUACGAGAGGCUUAAGAUAGCGCACCCGGCAAAACAUGGCUAGAGAACAUCACAAAGCUUAAGAAGGAAAGAAAAGCAAGCUGUCCAACGCCAAGAGCAAAUGAACCCCACCCACUUAACAAACCGACCCCUUAAACCACCAAAGCUGGGAAACAAACUAGGAUUAGACACCCUACUAUGCCCAGCCAUAAGAGGCCGCCACCAAGCCUGCCAGACAAGUACGAGCGAAAGCUUAAAACUCAAAGGACUUGACGGCAUUCCACAUCAACCUAGAGGAGCCUGUCCUAUAAUCGAUGACCCCCGCUAAAACCUCGCCACCCCUCGCCAAUCAGUCUAUAUACCGCCGUCGUCAGUUCACCCUGCAAAAGAACAAAAGUGGACGGAAUAGUUCUUGCACUAAAACGACAGGUCAAAGCGUAGCUAACGGGGUGGGCUGAGAUGGGCUACAUUUUCUAAAACAGACCACACCAAAAAGCCAAUGAAAAAGGCCAAAAAGGCGGAUUUAGCAGUAAGGCGAGACAGGAAAACCGCCUGAACACAGCACUGGAAUGCGCACACACCGCCCGUCACCCCCAUCCAAAAACAAUUGAAAGCUUCAUAACACCAGCACACCCACCAAGAUGGGGAAAGUCGUAACAAGGUGAGCGUACUGGAAGGUGCGCUCGUACAC
rnacentral:ncRNA from 1 species